rnacentral:lncRNA from 1 species
GAAAAAGUUGGUGUGUUUUAGUCACCAUAUAAAAGUCUACUUGUAUGAUGUAUCUGAUAACAUUUGGAAAAAUCCAUGGUUGAAGUUUUGAAGGGAAAAAAAAAACUAGAAUACUAAUCCUGAUGAGACAGUGAUAACCCUUUUUUGCUAAACAUAAACAAAUAAACCUCCAUAUAAUCCUACACAUAGAGUCAUAGAGUCCAAAUUAAAUUCCGGCCCAAG